rnacentral:tRNA from 1 species
GAUUGGGGUUCACACCCCAAUCAAGAAACGCUAUUUAUAUAGUUUAAAAAAAACUCUACAUUUUCAUUGUAAAAUUAAAUCCUUCUUUUGUAA